UUUUUGGCUGCAUUGGGUCUUCAUUGCUGCUCAUGGCUUUUCUCUAGUUGUGGCGAGUGGGGGCUACUCAGCUACUCUGUUGUGGUGAGCUUGCUUCUCAUUGCAGUGGCUUCUGCUGUUGCAGAACACAGGCUCUAGGCACAUGGGCUUCAGUAGUUGUGGCAUGAGGGCUCAGUAGUUGUGGCUCAUGGGCUGUAGAGUGCAAGCUCAGUAAUUGCGGCACACCGGAUUAGUUGCUCUGUGGCAUGUUGGAAUCUUCUCGGUCCAGGGAUUGAACCCAUGUCCCCUGCACUGGCAGGUGGAUUCUGAACCACUGCACCACCAGGGAACCCCUGGGACUACUUUUUGUGUUAAAAUUUUGGCUUGGGGAUUCUCAGACUAUGUAGUAGCACAAUUCAGAUCUCAAAUUAGCUUGUGGAAAAGCUGAUGGUUACAGAUUAUUAGAAGAGAUACUUUUCCCCUCUCAAUUCAGACCUUUCUUAUUGUCACUGUGUGCCAAAGGGCUAAUUUUUUUCUAGUCUGCUCUGUCUCUUUGAGGGUCUUCACCUUAUAUUGGGACUCAGUUCCAAUUCCCUGUUUUAGGUGGACCCAGGAAAACAAACAGCCCUUCUUUCCACAGCAACUGGGAAGGCCAGAUCUCAUUUAACACUGUAGCUUCUAGUUCCCCACCCCCAACAUUUUUGGCCCGAGGGCUCUUCCUUGCUUUAUUGCAAGCUCAGCUGUGUAAUUAAAAGAAUACAUAUAUUUCAAUAAAUUCUUUAUUGAAUUUGUUAUAAUAUUGCUUCUGUUUUACGUUUUGGUUUUUUGGCUGCAAGGCUUGUGGGAUCUUAGCUCCCCGACCAGGGAUCGAAUCUGCAUCCCCUGCAUUAGAAGGCGAAGUCUUAGCCACUGGACUGCCAGGGGAGUCCCAAAAGAAUAUUAUUAUAUUUUUAAAGUUACCUACCCAGCUACAUUGCUAGAAGCAGUAUCUUUUCCUCUAGAAUCUCUUGCUCAACUUGGUAGCUGUAGCAUCCAACACAGUGCCUGGCACGUGGGGAAAGGCUAUCAAUAUAUAUUUGUUGUUUGAUUUGUAGAAAUGGAUGUUUCCAUUAGGAACCAUUCCCCCUGUAGAGAAGGCCAGAGAUGGUGCUCCAAAUUCAUUCAUAUCCAGCAGCCAAGAGAUUUAGCAUCUGUGCUUUAACAUCCUGUGAAGGAUUUCAAUUUUCCUAUUUUUCACUUUUAAUCUUUAAAACUUCAGCGCUUUCCUAAGGGCAUGAAGGUGCUGUUGCCAGUUGCUAGCAGAGUUUUCCAGCCCCAUAAAUUGGCAAAUUAAAACCAUGCCCGGGGAACCAUUACUGCCCAGUGUCUCUUUUUAUGCUGGCACUGUGAAAGUUCUUAACGCUGAUUAAAUUGACCUUUACAGUGGCUCAGCUAAGAAUAGCAACUCUAAGACAUUGAAGCUCUUAAGGAAAAUGAUGUUAGCCCCAUAGUUUAUGCUGCCGCCAAAGAGAUGAGGUAACUUUUUGCGUGUGUGCAAAAGGCAUACUAUUCAUCCUCUUCCACUGUAAAUAAUGUUCUUUCCAGGGCAGUGUUGGUCUUGCUUCCUGCUUCUUCACACCUGUGCUUUUUGUUUGGUGACCAUAUGUGCCCCGUUUCUUGGAGCUGGUCACUGCGGUACCAGAGCUGAAGGCACACGUUUAACAAGUGAGGAUCUUGAUGGUCAUCAUCACAGUCAUUCUGAGGUGAAAGACCUCAGCAUAAGAACAUGUGUUAUUCACCCAAAGUUUCUUUAUGACAGGUCUACGUUUCUAGCAUAUCUGGGCCAGGAGUUUGUGCAAAUGAAAACAUUGCCUGGGAAAAAGUAUCUUUAAAAUGCAAAUCUCAUCUUGUCCCUGCUUACCUAACUGCCUUACCUACUUGUUCAGCCAUUUCGUAGCUAAAGGGCUUUGCUUGUACCAUUUCCUUUGCCUGGAAUGUUCUUCCCACGCCUCUUCCCUAGUUUCUAACUUUCUAACCAUCCUGGCAAUCUCAGUUCAAGCUUACCCUCCUCACAGCUAUCUGGGCCUCCUUGACUAGUUCCUAGUUCUUAAUUAUUGUCAGCUUUCACCAAAUCACGUAUUUUUCCUUCCUACAGUUUUAUCUGUAUGAUUACUUUAUCAUCUUUCAUUAGACUUUAAGCUCCAUGAGGGUAAAGAGCGUGACUGCUUCGGCCUUUGAUGUGCCCAUUGUGUUCCCCACCACUAGUUCAGUGCUGGUGCAGGGUAGGUGCUCAGUAAAUGUUGAAGGAAGGAUUGAAGGCCCUGUGUUCCCCAAUGGGACAAACACCAUUCUGCUUUUCAGAAAAUCAGUAUGUGAAAAUAAUGACCUUUCAAACAAAGAAGAGAGGAAGCCCAAGCAUGUUGCCCCUCCUCACUGCCAAGUAGAAGAUGUUCCCAAAGUCAAAGAGCUCCACAAGGGCAGGGCCCUCAACUUUUCCCUCAAAGACGAAAUGUUGAUUUUGUUUGGUUUGGGGCUUUUAAGUGGAUUUAUUUAAGCAUCUGAAGUGUAGAAAGCAAGUGAAGAAGUAUAACUUAAACCAAGGAGGCUGUAGCUUAAUAGUUAAAAGCUCUGGAGUCAGAUGAAUUAGAUUGGACUGCUUCCUAGCUGUGUGGCCUCCAGCAAGUGACUUAGCCUCUGUUGACCUCAGUUCUCUUAUACUACCCUCUUCAUAGUGGUGCUUUCAAGUUUAGAUGAAGGAAGACUUGUAAGGCAUUUAGAACAGUGCCUGGCACAUAGCAGGUACUCAGUAUACACUAGCCGUAUUAUUCACCCCAGCUCAUUCUGCCUUCACGGAGGCUGCAUAGCCAUUGUUUCAUUCAGCAGACCUUUGUGUGCCAAGCACUGUGCUCAUUCUUGGGGUUGGGGAGGGUGAUUGAGGAGUCAGAACUCCUGCCCAUAGGGAGGGCACGAUAUAUUCUCUCGUUCACUCUUGAGAAGGGGGUGGGUGGGGUGGAUAUUAACUUCCCACUCUUCAAGACUUGGCCUGAAAAACAUAAUAUGUGUGUAGUGCUUGGAGAUGCUUGGAAGAAGAGCAAAGGGUGCUCAUAAAUAAAGAGUGCUGAGAAUUUUUCAUAUUUGAACUUUCCAUUGCAUUCUCUCUAGUUCCUUUUUCUAUUCUUCAUGUGUCUGGAGCAGCCCACAUUGCCAGUGAACUUUACUCUUCUGAGAAGUAGUUCUAAGUGAAUGCAGAGUGCUGUUUAUUGAAUGGUCUUUCAUGCCCAGCAAUAAUGGCUCACAGAAUAACGUUGAUAUUGAGAGCUCAGAGAAGUUAAGUCAUUUACGCAAGUUACACUAAUAAGUGUAGCGUGAGAACUGGGCUUUGAACCCAGAUCUGACUGAAUCUUUACCAUUUGUAUCUUGAGCUGCCUGGAGAUCCUUGCAAGUCCUCUGGGUGACUUCCUCAUACAGGGAAUGGUGGAAGAGCAUCAAGCAACAUUUGCACACCUCUGUUCUUUGCUUUGACUGAGAGGAGGCGUAGGUUACAGGAGCUCUUGCAUUGGCUCGAGGCUGCUGUCAAAGGGAAUGGGAGGUGGGUAGGCUAAUAAACCCUUUGGGUUUAAGGAGACAUGAGUGAGCAUCUUAGCCAGCUCUAGGGCCAUUGAGUAACUUGUCCAGAGUGCAGUUCCUCUGUAAUGGCAGAGCUAGGGCCAAACACAAGGCUUCUGGAUUUUCCUUUCAUACCAGAAGGUCUCUUUCUCUGGAGGAGCUCAUGACACUCACAUCUCGCUACCUUCUUAAUCCUUCAUGUCUUCCUUGCUAAAGGUCCAUGAACCCACAUCUUGUCUUCUUUAACUGCCUGCCUGCUUUCCUUCCUUCUGCAGCAGAAAAUGACAUAACCAAGAUCAUCUCAGGCAACUUGGGGACUCUGUCUGUGAGGAGGAAAGCAAGGGAUGAGAUACACUGGGUAAAAAGUAUUUGAGGAACUGAGUUAAAUGAUGCUGCCACAGUCUGCUGUCCCUGGGAAAGUGGAGGCAGAGCAGGGAAAAAGAGUGGGGUUCUGUUUACUGGGCUUCCUGCCUCGGGGGAUGGGAGAGCCAAGAGAAAAGCUGACACCAGUAGGUCAUGAGGAUGCCACUUGUUUAGAUUUCAGACACGUUCCAUUUCAUGCCUCACGGAGGACCAGUUGGCCGCCCUGUGUUCUGAGCGUGGACCUCAUCUGGUGAAUUUUCUUGAGGCAGAAGUGUCCCUGGAUUCUUUCAUGUGUCAGAGUGUAGGCAGCACGGCCUCUUUUAGAAACUAUGUGGACAGUUUGAACUGUGCUCUUGUGAGCCAGGCCGGAAGAAUGGCAUUUCAGGGCCUGGUAAACUUGGGAGAAACAUUUUGAUGUCCUUAGGAAAGCAGUGUUUUGCUCUGAAGUCAAGAGGGAGAGGGUGUGUUCUAGCAAAAGCAACGAA